rnacentral:rRNA from 1 species
CAUUAGCUAGUUGGUGAGGUAAGGGCUCACCAAGGCGAAGAUGGUUAGGGGUUUUGAGAGAGAGACCCCCCACAUUGGAACUGAGAGACGGUCCAGACUCCUACGGGAGGCAGCAGUAGGGAAUAUUGGGCAAUGGGCGAAAGCCUGACCCAGCCACGCCGCGUGAAGGAAGACGGCCUUAUGGGUUGUAAACUUCUUUACUACGCGAAUAGAGGUUAGUACGAGAUACUAAUAGGAAGGUAGUGUAGUAAAAAGCACCGGCUAACUCCGUGCCAGCAGCCGCGGUAAUACGGAGGGUGCAAGCGUUAUUCGGAAUUACUGGGUUUAAAGGGUGCGUAGGCGGUUAAAUAAGUUGUCAGUGAAAGGCUACGGCUCAACUGUAGUAGUGCUGGCGAUACUGUAUAACUAAGAACAUGGGAGGGGUACCUGGAAUGUGUGGUGUAGCGGUGAAAUGCGUAGAUAUCACACAGAACACCGGAGGCAAAGGCGGGGUACUAGACCAUAGUUGACGCUGAGGCACGAAAGCGUGGGGAUCAAACAGGAUUAGAUACCCUGGUAGUCCACGCCCUAAACGAUGAUCACUAGAUAUUGGCGACAGACAGUCAGUGUCCAAGCGAAAGUGAUAAG